CUACGGGCGGCAGCAGGCGAGAAAACUUUGCAAUGUGCGAAAGCACGACAAGGUUAAUCCGAGUGGUUUCUGCUAAAGGAACCUUUUGUCAGUCCUAGAAACACUGAUGAAUAAGGGGUGGGCAAGUUCUGGUGUCAGCCGCCGCGGUAAAACCAGCACCUCAAGUGGUCAGGAUGAUUAUUGGGCCUAAAGCAUCCGUAGCCGGCUUUGUAAGUUUUCGGUUAAAUCCAUACGCUUAACGUAUGGGCUGCCGGGAAUACUGCAAAGCUAGGGAGUGGGAGAGGUAGACGGUACUCGGUAGGAAGGGGUAAAAUCCUUUGAUCUAUUGAUGACCACCUGUGGCGAAGGCGGUCUACCAGAACACGUCCGACGGUGAGGGAUGAAAGCUGGGGGAGCAAACCGGAUUAGAUACCCCAGUAGUC
rnacentral:rRNA from 1 species